rnacentral:misc_RNA from 1 species
UCCGGUUUGACACCGGCAGUCUCCCUAGAGUGCCCGGCAUAACCUGCUGGUAACUAGGGACGAGGGUUGCGCUCGCUGCGGGACUUAACCCAACAUCUCACGACACGAGCUGACGACAGCCAUGCACCACCUGUGAUCCUGCCCCGAAGGGAAACCCUGUUUCCAGGGUGGUCAGGAACAUGUCAAGCCCAGGUAAGGUUCUUCGCGUUGCGUCGAAUUAAACCACAUGCUCCGCUGCUUGUGCGGGUCCCCGUCAAUUCCUUUGAGUUUUAGCCUUGCGGCCGUACUCCCCAGGCGGGGUGCUUAAUGCGUUAGCUUCGGCACGGACGGGGUCGAUUUCCGCCCACACCUAGCACCCAACGUUUACGGCUAGGACUAC